rnacentral:lncRNA from 1 species
AAAGUUUUACCCAGAGCGAUCAAGUGAUUUGUUAGAUGGACGAAUCUCUUUUGUAAGGCAACUAUAGAUUCACCGGGCUGCAUGCGGAACAUCUCAUAUUCUUGGCUUAGGGUGUUUAGCCUUGAUCUCUUUACUUCGGUGGUUCCUUCAUGUGUUUCAACCAAGGUGUCCCAAAUCUCCUUUGCCGAUUUACAUUGAGAUAUACGGAAGAACUCGUCCAUACUGAGAGCGCUUUGGAGUAUGUUGAUUGCCUUCUU